rnacentral:lncRNA from 1 species
AACUUGAUGCGUCCACCUCAGCCUCCGCCCGUCGUUCCUCCCUUCGUUGCUCUCCACACUACUCCGGUGAGUAAUAUAUAUCACACAUGCAUGUUAUUUAGCUAUUUAACUUUGUCUCAUGCAAUCGCUGCUCCUGUGUGUAGCCUCAGUCGGUGGGUUCGAACCACGUGCCAAACGAGCAUGGGGGACUGUCGCCGCCGUCACAUGGGUGGCUCGGGUACCCACCUCCACCGCCGCCUCAGUGAGUAACGUCGUCGAAGAAGUUGUCAUGUAUUCCUUCUCUUCGUGUCAUGGACUUGGACUUGUUGUGUGGAACUUCAUGUCAUGGACUUGGACUUGUUGUGUGGAACUUCAUGUCAUGGACUUGAACUUGUUGUGUUGAACUUCAUUAGAAUCAAGUUGUUGUAUGGACUUUAAUUUAUCGCCGAAUAAGUGAUGCUAUUAUGAGAUAUAUGUGCUAUUGUGAUAAAUCCUUUGCCGGUGGUGAUAAAAUUGAUGGAAUUGUGAUAUAAAUGGUGCUACUUGUGUUCUU